rnacentral:rRNA from 1 species
GAUCCGUGGCUCAGGACGAACGCUGGCGGCGUGCCUAACACAUGCAAGUCGAGCGAGGAGAUCCUUCGGGAUGAUCCUAGCGGCGGACGGGUGAGUAACACGUGGGCAACCUGCCUCAUAGAGAGGAAUAGCCUUCCGAAAGGGAGAUUAAUACCUCAUAACAUUGCAGUUUCGCAUGGAACAGCAAUUAAAGGAGCAAUCCGCUAUGAGAUGGGCCCGCGGCGCAUUAGCUAGUUGGUGAGGUAACGGCUCACCAAGGCGACGAUGCGUAGCCGACCUGAGAGGGUGAUCGGCCACAUUGGGACUGAGACACGGCCCAGACUCCUACGGGAGGCAGCAGUGGGGAAUAUUGCACAAUGGGGGAAACCCUGAUGCAGCAACGCCGCGUGAGUGAUGACGGCCUUCGGGUUGUAAAGCUCUGUCUUCAGGGACGAUAAUGACGGUACCUGAGGAGGAAGCCACGGCUAACUACGUGCCAGCCGCGGC